CCCUUAGAUGUUCUGGGCCGCACGCGCGCUACACUGAACAGUUCAACAAGUCUUAACCUUGGCCGAUAGGUCUGGGUAAUCUUUGAACGCUGUUCGUGAUUGGGAUAGACCUUUGCAAUUAUGGGUCUUCAACGAGGAAUUCCUAGUAAACGCAAGUCAUCAGCUUGCAUUGAUUACGUCCCUGCCCUUUGUACACACCGCCCGUCGCACCUACCGAUUGAAUGGUCCGGUGAAAUCUCCGGACUGGCGUGAGUCGGAGCAAUCUGACAAACACCGGAAAGUUGAUUAAACCUUACCAUUUAGAGGAAGGUGAAGUCGUAACA
rnacentral:rRNA from 1 species